rnacentral:rRNA from 1 species
UACAGAGGUCCCAAGCGUUGUUCGGAUUCAUUGGGCGUAAAGGGUGCGUAGGCGGCGCGGGAAGUCGGGUGUGAAAUCUCGGAGCUUAACUCCGAAACUGCAUUCGAUACUGCCGUGCUUGAGGACUGGAGAGGAGACUGGAAUUUACGGUGUAGCGGUGAAAUGCGUAGAUAUCGUAAGGAACACCGGUGGCGAAGGCGGCCUGCUGGGCAGUGGGGGCAACCCCUGGAAGCUGACACUGAGGCGCGACAGCGUGGGGAGCAAACGG